UACGUAGGGUGCAAGCGUUAAUCGGAAUUACUGGGCGUAAAGCGUGCGCAGGCGGUUGUGCAAGACAGAUGUGAAAUCCCCGGGCUCAACCUGGGAACUGCGUUUUGUGACUGUAUGACUAGAGUACGGUAGAGAGGGGGUGGAAUUCCUGGUGUAGCAGUGAAAAUGCGUAGAUAUCAGGAGGAACAUCGAUGGCGAAGGCAGCCCCCUUGGACCUGUACUGACGCUCAUGCACGAAAAGCGUGGGGGAGCAAACAGG
rnacentral:rRNA from 1 species